UAAAUAGAAGCUAAAAGCAUUUAAUUUCGACUUAAAUUUAGGGUAAAAUUACCCCUAUUUAA
rnacentral:tRNA from 1 species